GUGGAGGCUUGCGGGAGGCGGAGCGAGCCGCAAGCGGGUACUCCUGCCGCGGGGAUGGGGUGGCAAGAGGAAUUAGGAAGUCGCGGCGAGAUGGGAAGAGCAGUGCAGAACUCUCCGUGUUUCUAAACCAAUCUGCUCUUCCAUUUAGCUCGGCUGGCUUGUGGAGAGGCUAAUACUGCUUACCGGCCCCCUCUGUGAGGACCUGGAAGAACUAUACCGACGGUAACAGUGCGUUCAUGCUAUUAUCCCGGCGAAGCAAAUGAAAAUCCAAGAUACCAGGAGAGAACAAGAUUCCCUGAGACUCUGGUAUGUAGCUGAAGAUGUUGUGACGUGUGUCCCACUCUGCAGCCUGGUAAAGGGACGAGGAAUCCCAGGAAUUGGUACUAAAAGGAAAGAAGACUGAGGCCUAUGGAAAGGAAAGGAAAGGAGAGGAUUCUUGGGAAGCUUUUUGUUGCCUGAAAAAGGACUCUAAGGUGGGAGAGAGUGACCCAUGCUCCCGGAAGACAAAGCACUCCACAAAAAAAAAACAACAGCUACCAAGUUAGACAGGUCUGGCUCAAGC